rnacentral:rRNA from 1 species
UACGGAGGGUGCAAACGUUGCUCGGAAUUAUUGGGCUUAAAGCGCACGUAGGCGGCCGACUAAGUCGGGUGUGAAAGCCCUGGGCUCAACCCAGGAAGUGCACUCGAAACUGACCGGCUUGAAUAUGGAAGAGGGUCGCGGAAUUCCCGGUGUAGAGGUGAAAUUCGUAGAUAUCGGGAGGAACACCAGUGGCGAAGGCGGCGACCUGGGCCAAUAUUGACACUGAGGUGCGAAAGCGUGGGGAGCAAACAGG